GAUGAACGCUGACAGAAUGCUUAACACAUGCAAGUCUACUUGAACUUCGGUUUGGGUGGCGGACGGGUGAGUAACGCGUAAAGAACUUGCCUCACAGUUAGGGACAACAUUUGGAAACGAAUGCUAAUACCUGAUAUUAUGAUUUUAGGGCACCCUAGGAUUAUGAAAGCUAUAUGUGCUGUGAGAGAGCUUUGCGUCCCAUUAGCUAGUUGGAGAGGUAACGGCUCACCAAGGCGAUGAUGGGUAGCCGGCCUGAGAGGGUGAACGGCCACAAGGGGACUGAGACACGGCCCUUACUCCUACGGGAGGCAGCAGUGGGGAAUAUUGGACAAUGGACCAAAAGUCUGAUCCAGCAAUUCUGUGUGCACGAUGACGUUUUUCGGAAUGUAAAGUGCUUUCAGUUGGGAAGAAAAAAAUGACGGCACCAACAGAAGAAGUGACGGCUAAAUACGUG
rnacentral:rRNA from 1 species